rnacentral:rRNA from 1 species
CGGACCUCAGAUCAGA